AACGAACGCUGGCGGCAGGCUUAACACAUGCAAGUCGAACGCAUCCUUCGGGGUGAGUGGCAGACGGGUGAGUAACGCGUGGGAACGUGCCCUUCAGUUCGGGAUAACCCAGGGCAACUUAGUCUAAUACCGGAUACGUGCGAGAGCAGAAAGAUUCAUCGCUGAAGGAUCGGCCCGCGUCUGAUUAGCUAGUUGGUGGGGUAAUGGCCCACCAAGGCGACGAUCAGUAGCUGGUCUGAGAGGAUGAUCAGCCACAGUGGGAGUGGGACACGGCACGAGCUCAUACGGGAGGCAGCAGGGGGGAAUAUUGGGAAAGGGGCGCAAGCCUGAUCCAGCCAUGCCGCGUCGGUGAUGAAGGCCUUGGGGUUGUAAAGCUCUUUCGGCCGGGACGAUAGUGGCGGUACCGGAAGAAGCAGCCCCGGCUAACUUCGUGCCAGCCGCCGCAGUAA
rnacentral:rRNA from 1 species